UUUUUUUUUUUUUUUUUUUUUUUUUUUUUUUUUUUUUUUUUGGGGUGGGGGUGGGGUGGGGUUGUUUGCUAUGAUGUAUGUUAAGAUUAAUGAAAUUUUAGUUUUAAAAGAGUUGGGUAAAUUGAUUAUUUUUAACAUAAAUUAAUUUUAGAAAAAAAUGAGCAUGAAAAAUGUGGCAACUCAUAUCAAGUAAAUGAUAACUUUUUGUUGUAGUGUGACAAAUCUGAUAUGUUUACGUAAACCGUAACAAACUUAACACCACUCCUUCCAACCUUACGAAGCUUCUUAAUCGGUUCAACGAUUCUGCCCCACUCUACAACCACAAUGUACUACUAACAAGAGGGAAGAUAUUCUCUAAUGCCACAUAACCACAUAUGGAUACCUUCACACCCAUACCUAACCUAACAAUAGCGAUGACGUUCUCUAAUGCCACAUCAACCACGUAUGGAUACCUUGACACCUAUACAUAACCUUAACAUUUUCCUUGUUUGUCCAUCUCUUAAAUUGUCCUUGGAUCGUGUUUUUUUCAUUCUUUAUUUGACUGUCAAAUCACUAUGUAAUAUUUUAAUUAUUGUUUUUUUUAUUUACUUGAAUAUGAAAUCACCAUGUAAUAUUUUAAUUAUUGUUAUUUUUAUUCAACUUUGAUCGUAUUCAUAGUAAAUAAAUCAUCAAUAACAACGAUUCAGUUUCAUCUCAUCUAUCAAGUUUAUUUUAACACUCAUCGUAGUGCAUAUGUAGCUAAAAAUGUUAGGUAAUUUAAUUUAAUAAAAUAUGUAUCUGAAUUUACAUGAUUAUAAAGAUACAUACAAUCAUUGAUGAAGUUUCUUAAAAUAUAUAUAUGAAAAAAAAAGGUUUUUGUUCACAGAAACAAUAAUGCUACUAAAGGCGUGGCCCUUUCCAACUGUUACACAAUCAGAAAGAGCAUGUGGCAGACAACAUAAUAUCUUACUUUCAAUAUGCGCCUCAUUCACACAUUCACAAUUGUAUGGAUGCAUACAAAAUAAAAAAUUCUCAUUCAAGAUAUCACAUGAACGAAUUUUUAUGAAAUCAAAGUUAUUCAAUGAAAAAAAAACAGAAAUUCAGCAAGCAUCAACAUCUGAGACAAUCGGGAAGCAAUUACAUAUUAUAUAUCCAUUAAUCAAUCAAUAAUCAAUUUGAACAAAUGAAAAUUUGGAUCGAAAAACGAGAACUAAGGAUCUGAAAACCAUCAUCAUCACAAACGAAUUUUAUGAAACUACAUACAUUCAACAAAAGAAUGAAUUCACAUACAAAAAUUUCAAGAACAAAUGCGGAUAUAAGCAGAACAAAUCAUCUCAAUACAAAACAAAAAUAAUUUCUCCAAAUCAAAUCGAUUUAGAAUAAAAGCCCAAAGGAAAGAGAAAUAAGGGAAAUAAGGGCGGCCGGAACGUAAACGCUGGCGGCAGAAGACGGACCCGGCGCCGGGGCGGGAGCUUCCUGAGCUGCGACAUUACUGACGGCAGAUACGGCCAUCAACAUAACAACAACGGCGGCGAAGAGCUUCAUCUUCAUUGAUUCCAUUGAUGCUUUACUUUGAAUUUGAAAUUCAAGCGGAAUGUAAGAACAGAUUAGUUUGAUUAAUUGCAGGGUGUUGAAACUUGAAAGUGGUGGUGGUGUUGGAGGUGAUGAAGGGUUGAUAUAUAUAGGGGUGUGUGAAGGGGGAGGGGACACUUUAGUGGCAUGAGCUGACCGAACUGCCCGACUGUUGACAGGGUGUUUAUGUGGGGUUGCCCCACAGCUGUGGCCAACGGUUGUAUCGCCGUUUUCGUGGGCUCCACCCAUUUGUUUCGAUUGCCUUUUCUUAGAAAAAAAAAAAAAGAAACUGAAUUGUGUGGUUUACAUGGAAAGCUAUCAUUUAAAUUUAAAAUUUUUGCCGUUCGAUUUAAGACUAAACAGUCUCCUAAACUUUUUACCAUUGCCACGUAGAUUGAAAGAGACAUUUUUAUAAAUUUUUAGUUUUAAAAAUGAUAACACACAAAUAUGAUUUUUGCCACGAUAAACUUUCACCGCUAGCAAUGGAUUUCUUGUGGAAAAACGGUCUUAUAACAUAAUAACACCGUAAAAUCAAGUAUAUAAAUAUACUGGGUGUUUGAGAUAGUUUUUGAAAAUAAUUUUUCAAAAAGCUAAUAAGCUAAAAAAGUGUUUGUGUGUUUAAAAAACGGAUUUUAAAACAGUUUUUUUAAAACAGUUUUUCUUAUCCGAACACUAUUUAAAAACCGUUUUUCAUAAAAGUCAUAAGCUAAUAAACAUUUUUCUUAAAAAUCACUUUUGUUAUAAAAAAGUUAACCCAAACACACCCUUAUUGCAUCCUUCAUUGAUUCCUUUAUAUACACUCUAUGAAACACAAGUUGAUUAUGAUGGACAUGAAUAUGACGAUAUUGGCAUCGUAAAGGUAAACAUUUUGCUUGCGAUAGGACUACAUAUGCCAAUGAUGAAUUAACAAACGAUUAUGCAAAAAAUGUUUGUGUUGAUUGAUGAUUUAAUAUUACUUCCACACGGAUAACCGGUGGAAAGUCGUGAAGCUAGAUCGGAUUAUGAUGAAAUUCAAUAUGAUAACGAUAACAGCCCAAUCAAUAUGAUAAGGAUGACUAUGAGUUCUUUUAUUAGUAUGAAGAAACUAAAACUAUGAAUAUUACAUUAUACCAUUGUUCCAACUCUCAACCCACAAACAUAAACUUAUCUUAAAGAGUCUCAAUUUUUGAAAACAAAUAAGAUAUAUGUAACACCCGAAUUUUUAAUGCAAUGUACACCAAAAAAAAUUCACUUUUUAAAUUUAUAAGUAAGGCGUACACAUGUAUUAACAAUCCAAUAUGUAGUUCUCAACAUGAUUACAACAAAGAAAUAAAAUGCAUGUAUUAACAAUCCAAUAUGUAGUUCUCAACAUGAUUACAACAAAGAAAUAAAAUGCAUUGAUCUAAGUCGGGCAUUACAACCUCUUUUUUACAAUUAUAGGGAUGACAAAAAACUCAUACCUAAUGAAGAACACAAAACCUACACCCGUUUUUAGCCCUGUCGAAAAUACCCGAUACCCGAAUUACCCGCCCGAUUUUUUCGGGUAUCGGGUAAAUCGGGUAUCGAGUAAAUUUUUCCGGGUAAUCGGGUUACCCGAAAUUUUUUCGGGUCGGGUAAAGGGUAUAUUUUUUGGGUUUCGGGUAUACCCGAAUUACCCAAAUUAUUAAAAAAAAAAUUUGUUUUGUAGAGCUUGUACUAUAUAACAGGUAUUUGAUCACGCUUAAACUAACUAUCAUUAUUGUAAAACAUAAAUAUAUUUAUUAUGACAAUACGACACUAACAAUCUUAAAAGUAAUUUUUAUAUAUCAUCACGUUCUUUAAAAUUUAACAGUUUUCUGGAUUAUAGUUUUUAUUACAACUAACAAACUCAUUAUCUUGACGAAACUUUAGAACAUGGCAAAACUUAUUACUACAUUUAUCUUAAACAUUUUAAACUUUUAAAUUAAGAUUUUUAGGUAUUUGUUUUUUUAACAUCUUAUUAGAUUAGAUUAAGUCGUUAAAAAAUUACUUGAUAUCUCAUGUAUUAUUGAGUAGAAAAUCUCAAUGUUCAAAGCUUGAGUAACUUCGUUUAUGUCUCGUUUGUUUAUAUAAACAAGACUAAUAAAGCACGACGUAUUAUUUCAUUAAAUUUAUUUUUAGGUGAAAUUCAAAAAAAAAAUCAUAUAUUUCGGGUAAUACCCGAAUUACCCAAACCCGACCCGAUACCCGAAUUACCCAAACCCGAAUUUAGUUUGGGUAGGGUAACGGGUAAUUUUUCUAACAUGAAAAACCCGAAUUACCCGACCCGAAUUACCCGAAAUCCGAAAAAAUUAUCCGUUCAACACCCCUACCCGUUUUGACCGGAGAAUCCUCAAGUUAACCAUGGAUGGGGACGAUCGGGAAUCCCCGAAUAAAAGAAUGGGGAUGGGGAUACCUUUAGACCCCGACCCUGGACUUGGCCNNNNNNNNNNNNNNNNNNNNNNNNNNNNNNNNNNNNNNNNNNNNNNNNNNNNNNNNNNNNNNNNNNNNNNNNACUCUUUGUAUCAUAUAUACAUAUUGUAAAUGUCCAAUGAUCUUCUAAUUCAACUUCUAACAUGAUUUAAUUCCAAGAUUUUUAUAAAUUUUAUAUUUAUCUUCCUCUUACAUAAUUUUCAUUUUUAACUAUAAUAUAUAUAGCCUAAUAGGUGUUCAGCAUGAAGAUGUGAUAUAAGAGAAAAAUAAUAGUGAAAUUUUGAAAAUCUUGAAAGUAAAUCAAGUUAGAGGUUGAAGUUUAAGAACAUUAUAAUGAAUAUAUCAAACAAAACNNNNNNNNNNNNNNNNNNNNNNNNNNNNNNNNNNNNNNNNNNNNNNNNNNNNNNNNNNNNNNNNNNNNNNNNNNNNNNNNNNNNNNNNNNNNNNNNNNNNNNNNNNNNNNNNNNNNNNNNNNNNNNNNNNNNNNCUCUGAUACCAAGUUAAAAUAUGUAUUUGCCACACAAAACCCGUAGGUUAUUAUCUGAUAUAUAUAUAUAUAUAUAUAUAUAUAUAGACACACACACACACACAAAACAAAUUUUUAUAGUAUAAUUUAUGAUAUCUCAAAGUUUAUCUCGGUAACCAAACUCAUUAGUUAUUACUUGGUUGAAAUUGUAUUUAUCCUAAUUCAUUUAUCUAAUUUAACCUUGUGUGUAAUUUUUUUUCUCUUUGGUUAAUCUAUUUUACCUUAAAUACCAAUCUGAUAACUUUUUCUACUUGAUUUUUCAUGUAUGUGUUUAAAUUAGGUAGAAUCUUUUUUAUAGUUUUUAUGCAAUGUAUGAAUAUUUUAUAUUAUUUAAAAUCUUUAAACUUACUUUGGUAAAACUGAAAUUUAAAGUUUUUCUUUACGUAAAAGUGUAAUGUCCCAUUUUCAAAACAAAAUUUUCAUUUUUAAAUAAGGAUAUGUCAUUGUUUUUCAAAAACCUAGUCAAGGAACAUAAAUAUCAAAAUACAAUGAUCCCAAAAAUAUCAGAGCAUAAAACUUGCGGAAUCACAUAAGCUGCAGGUGGAUGUGUGUAUAAUCAAACAUUCGCCUUCCUGCAAUCAUCUGAAGUACCUGAAGCACAAUAAAUUAACAUCUGUAAGCUUGAAACUUAGUGAGUUUUCCCCCAAGAUACCACAUACUCUAGAACCCUCACCAUAAAUGGUCAAUACUCCCCCACUUGGGUCUCGAACCGUCACCAACUAUCGCUCAUAAUCAAUCGGCCCUCCAUGCGGACUCAACCAAUCCAUACCCACAAUAACACAUACACCCCCAUCACGAUAGGAAUAAGAUCUAUAUGGAACUUAACACCAUAAAUCUCCAGUACACAACUCGGUAAACAUCAGAAGCCGAAUCGUGUUCUUAUCUGGAAUAGCUACUCUUAAAGGUCGAUCCACAGGCUCGCAAGGAACACUAAAGCCCCUACUGAACGAUGUCGACACAAACGACCGGCUCACACCUGAGUCGAAUAGAACAAAAGCGGGCAGAAAAUUCAUAAGAAAUGUACCUAACAAAAUCACAAUCAUAAGUAUGCAUAAAGUAAGAUAACAUAAAUAUAAAGGAACACAUACCAGCAAUGACGUCCGGCGUUGCCCUGGCCUCCUCUGCUGUCAACUGAAAAGUUCUCCCUCGGGCCCUAGGGGCCUGGGCGUUCCCUUGUCGAUCAUCAGUAAUGCGUAGGGUUGCAGGAGCAAGAGUUUCAACUGGCCUCGAUGUAAGUAAUGGGCAAUUGGCAUUCAUAUGGCUCAUCUGAUUGAAGCUAUAGUAGACUCGAAGAUCAACGGACAAUCCUUCGUAAAGUGUCUUUCAUUGCCACAUUUGUAGCAUACCAUCCCUGUCGGGUAGGUACCCUCAUGAACCUUACCGAACUUGUUGCAAGUACAGACCCUAUGACCUCUCAGUCUCGAAUCAGCAAGCUUGAACCUCUUAGUCGUUGGCUGCAAUGACACUGGCCUCCUAUCUCUAUGUUGUGUCUCCCUCUCAACCUCUCUCACUUAUGUCUCCAGCUUAAGCUCUCUCCUCCUGACAUUAGUCUGCAACUCAGCCAAUGUCUGAUACUGGGUGCUCGUCACGACCUUUUGGAUAUCCUUCUUGAUUAUUCUCAAGAAUCAGGUCAUCCCCACCUGCUUAGAGGAUGUGUACUCAGGAAAGAAAAAGGCCCUCUCGUGAGACAUCCUGGUGAUCUCAGUUGUUGUCUCUAUCAUCUGCCUGAGCGACAGGAACUCCUGGGUCAACAUCUCCCUCUCCACUAAUGACACAAAUUUAACAUGAAACAUCUCAAUAAGUUGAUCCCAAGUCAUAACAGAAAGCUCUGAUGGAGAAUAAUCUGAUGUUACAAACUUCCACCAGUCCUUCGCUCCCAGGCAAAGAAGGUUCAGCGCGAAACGAACCUUCAGGUUCUCCAGACAUUAACAAGUGUAGAAACAUCCCUCAACAUUUUAGACCUAUCUCAUAAAGGAAAUAAGGUUCUUGACCCCAUCGAAAUCAUGAGGCAUCGUGUUGUUGAAAUCCCGGUACAACAUUGAAUCCCCCCCAUGUGGUCUACCAACAACAACAGCUGUAGUGGCUGCGGAAGUAGCAACCUCAGUGAUGGUUGCAUAGCGCUCGUCAAACAAAUCAAUCAUAGCGGUCUUGAUAAACCCAAAAAUAUCUGGAAUAUUCUCCCUGAUCAUUGCAACCACCUCUGUAGCAAUGAUCCUACUAAUCUCCUCAUCACUGGUACCCGACCUAUCUGGGUCGCUAGAGCUUAAACCUCGGGUCGUCAUCACCAUACUGAAAAGAAUAACGAAAAGAUCAAAACCAAACUAAAUCGUACACAUACAUAAUACACUCCCACAAGUUCCUUAUUACCCCAUGAUUCAACCUGAAUUGCAUACGGAUCCUAUGCUUUCAAUAGUACGGGCCCAUACUAUCUUCCAAACCUAUUCGUAGUUCAUUCAGGUUGUCCUCCCAAAUCCUUAAGAUGCUAAUCCCUAAAAUCUAGAUGUAUCCAUGCAUACACACCUAAGGAUCACAACUAAGAACCUAAAUACUCAUUAUAGGUUCCCUCUCGACCACCUUUCCACCUUGCAAGAAUCUCUGCUAAACUUGCCAAUUGCUCCACGUAUGUCAAUUUUACAUAAUCCAGGACUCGAUAGACAGUUGAAUAAAUGAUUCUACCUCAAGUCCACAACCAAAAAAGGAGCAAGAAGUAAGGCUAAACCAAAUAAUCUAAGGCUAUAAAACCCUAACUAUGUAUGUAACAUCCCAAUUUUCGGGUACAAAUUUAAAGCCUUAUAUAUAUAUAUAUACAUACAUAUAUAUAUACAUAUAUAUAUAUAUAUAUANNNNUAUAUAUGCAUUUUUAGGGCCACGUAUAUUUCAGGGUCUACUCGACGAGUUGGAAGACACCAACUCGAUGAGUUGAAGGCUGAACAUGAAAAUCCUAAUUUUUAUGGUUUUCACCCUAUUUAAAGACCUUAUAACUCGUUUAUGGUUUGCCUCUCUCCCCAUUUUAAGUGAUUGUGAGAUUAAAGAGUGUUCUUUGGUGGUUUUCUUGAAGGAGCUUGAAUUUGGUGGUGCAAGGUUGAAGGGAGAAGCUGUAGAUUCAAGAUUCUCAGUGUUGUUACAUCCACUUGGAGGUAUAAAGUCGUUAUCUUGAUCAUCUCUUCUUCUAGAUCUCUUCUUUUAGAAGUAUGGCCAUUAUUAGCUUAUUUUGGGACCAUUAUUGGAUUUAAGCAUGUUAUGAAGCCAUGGUUUCAGAUCCGGACGUUUCAUGGGCCCUUUUGACAUAAAGUUGUCAUCUUUAUCAAGUAUUGGCUCUCCUUCAUGCCCUAGGCCCCGUGAUAAACCUUAUUUGAGUUUUUUAGCCCCUUUGAUGCCACACAUGGACGUAAAGUUAGCAACUUUACGUGGUAUUUCAGUCAUAGGGGACCAGAUCUAUAGUUUGGAGCAUUAAGCUCACUUGGAAGUAUCUGAAUGCAUUAAGGUUAGGAAAACUCGAUGAGCUGAUCUGCCAACUCGAUGAGUUGGUGAGGGUUUUCCCACUUUCUAGAUGCCAAAGAACUCGAUGAGUUGCUCUGGUAACUCAGCGAGUUAACUAUGGCUUUUCACGAUUUUCUGAACAUUUAAGGAACUCGACAAGUUGCUAGAUGCACUCGAUGAGUUAGGUCAACAUGG
rnacentral:lncRNA from 1 species